rnacentral:rRNA from 1 species
UGGGGAAUUUUGGACAAUGGGCGAAAGCCUGAUCCAGCAAUGCCGCGUGUGUGAAGAAGGCCUUCGGGUUGUAAAGCACUUUUGUCCGGAAAGAAAUGGCUCUGGUUAAUACCUGGGGUCGAUGACGGUACCGGAAGAAUAAGGACCGGCUAACUACGUGCCAGCAGCCGCGGUAAUACGUAGGGUCCAAGCGUUAAUCGGAAUUACUGGGCGUAAAGCGUGCGCAGGCGGUUGUGCAAGACCGAUGUGAAAUCCCCGAGCUUAACUUGGGAAUUGCAUUGGUGACUGCACGGCUAGAGUGUGUCAGAGGGGGGUAGAAUUCCACGUGUAGCAGUGAAAUGCGUAGAGAUGUGGAGGGAUACCGGUGGCGAAGGCAGCCCCCUGGGAUAACACUGACGCUCAUGCACGAAAGCGUGGGGAGCAAACAGGAUUAGAUACCCUGGUAGUCCACGCCCUAAAGCGAUGUCAACUAGUUGUUGGGGAUUCAUUUCCUUAGUAACGUAGCUAACGCGUGAAGUUGACCGCCUGGGGAGUACGGUCGCAAGAUUAAAACUCAAAAUGAAUUGACGGGGUCAUAGCUGUUUCC